CUCUGCUUGACCAAGAAACCUGAUUAAUACAGACUGAGAGCUGCAGACUGUGUUUAUUUGUUUCAUUAACAAGAACAACUUAGGAAUGGCAACUUCCAUUGAUGAGCUUCCUACUUUGUUCUCCUGAUGGAAAACAGACAGUUGUUUCCCUGUUGAAGACUAGCCACCCUGCAGAGGUGAACAGUUCACUCUCAAGGCCAUAAUGACUUGAACACUGGCUGUCUAGAAACAGAGAGGCGGGCAGCGGCAGACAGGAACAGAGGUGGAGCAUCUUCCUCCAUCAGGAGCUGCACCUCGGAAGUGUCCUUAGAUGUGGCUUGGAAUUGGGAUCCUUCCAUUCCCCUCAGGAAAAACAUUAACAUCUGCCGUUUUUCUAAAUUGAAUGUGGAAGAUGAUCCUGACAGGCUGAACAAAGAUGCUUGCUCUCUGGUGUGAUGUUUGACAAGGGAAUCUUCUUUCAUUUUCUCCUCUGAUGAAACUCUCUACCAGAUAAGCCGCAGCAG
rnacentral:lncRNA from 1 species